ensembl:antisense 1700071M16Rik RIKEN cDNA 1700071M16 gene
AGUACCUAAGGCCUCCUACACAAAGAUGAUCCUUGUGGGCCAGCAGCAUGGCUGUCACCUAGGGAUUUGGAAAUGCAGACUCCUGGUUCGAAUUCGACAAUCAAAAAGAUUCAAAGUAGGCUGAUUCAAGAUGAAGAAAUGCUGUGGCACAGCCCAUAUCUCUUGGCCUGCCACAUUGGUAAAGCAGUGAGAGGGGGCAGUUUGAUGAAAGACAGAAGGUGAAGCAGAGUGGAGCCCGGUAUUGGAUCCAGGAACCUGUUCACCUGGAAUUUAGGAGUCACAGGUACCACUCUGGGUACAGAAAAGGAGGAGCAUCUUGCAAUUUGCACAUCACACGAAUCUGCAUCUCCAUCUAUCCAUCUAUCUGAAAUCAUCAUAAGGAAAAAGAGGCGGAUCAGACCAACUAUAGCUUGGUCUGUGCUAUAGUUUGUGGCUCAGAGUUCAUCUUUUCUUAAUCCUCUUCAACUUUAUGUGAAUGGGAACUUUGAACCCUGUAGGACGCUACUUGGUAUAUCUAGGAAAUAUAGCAAUUCAGGUUACAAUUU